rnacentral:tRNA from 1 species
GGAGGGUACAGCUCAGUGGCAGAGCACGUGCUUAGUAUGCACGAGGUCCUGGGUUCAGUCCUCAGUCCCUCCA